rnacentral:rRNA from 1 species
GUGCCAGCAGCCGCGGUAAUACGUAGGUGGCAAGCGUUGUCCGGAAUUAUUGGGCGUAAAGCGCUCGCAGGCGGUCUUUUAAGUCUGAUGUGAAAUCUUACGGCUCAACCGUAAGCGGUCAUUGGAAACUGGAGGACUUGAGUACAGAAGAGGAGAGUGGAAUUCCACGUGUAGCGGUGAAAUGCGUAGAGAUGUGGAGGAACACCAGUGGCGAAGGCGACUCUCUGGUCUGUAACUGACGCUGAGGAGCGAAAGCGUGGGGAGCAAACAGGAUUAGAUACCCUGGUAGUCC